rfam:Cavia porcellus supercont2_27 genomic scaffold, whole genome shotgun sequence.
UGGGAUUUAGCUCAGCGGGAUAAGCACCUGCCUUGCAAGCAGGCGGUCGUGAGUUCAAUCCCCAGUACCAA